GAGGGUAUAGCUCAAGUGGUAGAGCACAUGCUUAGCAUGCACAAGGUCCUGGGUUCAAUCUUCAGUACCUCCU
rfam:Camelus ferus unplaced genomic scaffold scaffold878, whole genome shotgun sequence.